UACCAGCACCCCGAGUGGUCGGGACGAUUAUUGGGCCUAAAGCAUCCGUAGCCGGUUCUGCAAGUCUCCCGUUAAAUCCAACUGCUCAACAGGUGGGCUGCGGAGGAUACUACAGAGCUAGGAGGCAGGAGAGGCAAGCGGUACUCAGUGGGUAGGGGUAAAAUCCGUUGAUCCAUUGAAGACCACCAGUGGCGAAGGCGGCUUGCCAGAAUGCGCUCGACGGUGAGGGAUGAAAGCUGGGGGAGCAAACCGG
rnacentral:rRNA from 3 species